rnacentral:tRNA from 1 species
AUAGUAGUAGCACAAUGGGUAGUGUACUUGCUUUGGGAGCAAGAUGUUGGAAGUUCGAGUCUUCUCUACUAUA